rnacentral:lncRNA from 1 species
CGGGGCGCAGCCACUCUCUCUCUUUCUCUCUCUCUUUCUUUUCACUCUCUCUCUCUCUCCCCCUCUCUUCUUCUCUUGCGGGCAGAGAAGAAACCCACGCGCGCACGCGGUGAUGUCUUACUGGUGAUAAUUGGCCCAGGGGUCGGUCUCUUCAGGGAUCCUUCUGUGUCUAUGCUUCAACCGACCAGUGAUUCCACAACUGAGCCGGUCACUGAGUUUUGAAUCUUGGAAUCAUUAUCAGCACAUAUAAAGGAUGAAGAGAUGUUAGAAUGUCGACAGAGGAAAGAUACUGUGACACCUUAUGAUGAAGCCAGCAACCACAGCCACCACAACAGGGACUCCGCUGGUUCAGUUGGUAUGGGCCUGUGAGACAGUACAUCCCAGCAAGCUGUUCACCUCAUAGCCAAGAAUGACUGGCAAAGCUUAGCCUGUGUGAUUACAUCCUGGAAGUGAAACAGAGGGAAGCGGAUUGCUGACAUCACUGCCAUUAGGAUGAGCAAGAAGCUUCCCAUCCCCAAGACAACGGUGUCACCCACGGGCCAGGACAACAGUGUCACCCACGGGCCAGGCAGAUCUUAAUCUGUGACCCAGGAGCACAUGGCCAACAUUUAUUUUUAUUGUGAGAGAAUGUCAUACAUGCAUGUGAUGUGUUGGAUCAAACACACUUCCUAUCCAUUCCCUCUAGUUCCUCCCCUGUGCGCACUGUUUCUUUCUAAUUUUAUGUGCUUUCUUCCUAAAACCCACUAAGUUCACUCAAUGCUGCCAGCAUGUGCAUGGGUUGGAGGUCAUGCACUUGAACAUGGGUAGCCUUUCAGGGACAUAUUCCCCAUGAAAACUGACUCCACCCUUAACCCCAGCAGUCUUCAGUUGCCAAUAGCUGCUUCAGUGCUAAGGGUGGGAGUUCACACUUCCUCCUCCACCCAUGCUGGGGUUCAUUUACAUUGGUCUUAGAGCUCACACAUUCCAGUCUUGAUUACAUCUCACACAUUCAGUCACAGCCACUGUCCGCUCCUGUGUGUACAGCCCUUGGACAGCUCAGUUUGAUGGCAGUCGUCAUCUCUGGCUCUUACAAUCUGUCCACCAGCCUCUUCCUCAACAGUUCCUGGGGCAUGGCAAGCAUUUUGACUCCAGGGCUUCAUGAUACGCUUGCCCAAGUAUCACAGAGGGGGUGGGAGGAAGAUCUGUGGUAUAUCUACUAAGGGGCUGACAGUACUGGGGACAGGAGGAGCCAUGGCCCAGAACAAUGGGGGGAAACGGUUAAAGACAAACUGCAUCAAUUGGA